GGGGAUUUUUCUCUGAUCAUCACUGUGGGAACCUGGUAUAACUCCUCGAAGUAAAACUCACCAAAGUGUGAGAUGCACUAUGACUUGGUCCUCCCGGCGUUUUUAUUUCUCAGAUUUGCUAACACUGAGCCUCCAGGAAUCUGUCAUUAGCAGUUCUGGUUUUUCUACCUCAGUACUGGGUUUUUGCAGAAGUUUCUGGUCUCUGGGUUUUUGCUCCCAUAAGUUGUGAUUCUCUUUUUUUGCCUGUUUGUCUCUUCAAUUUAAGGGGCUGUGGUUUGCUCUAUGACUUCACAUUUCUGACAGAUCUGAGAAAUGUUGUUGAUUUUUCAGUUCAGGUUUUCACUUGUUAGGAUGGAGAGGAAAUCUAAACUCCUUAUGUGCCAGACCAGAACCUAAAAGUCCACAAUUGGCUUUUUAAGCUAGAGCAAUAGCAUAGAUUUAAUAUCUUGUGUAGGAGACUCGCUUACCGAAGUUUAGCAAUUCCAUCAGUUUAUGCAAUAGAUAUUUUCUGUAAAAAUAAUACUAAAUUUAAUAUAUUUUUAAAUGAGAAUAUGCUUAAAGUUAACUCUUAAUGAAAUUGCCCUUUCCCACUCAAACAUUCAUUUAUCUUUCUAUUACAAUUUGUGAAUGAAAAGGUGUAUGAAUCAUGUAUCCAUUUCUGGAUGGUGGCAUUUUCAACAAUUUUUAGAAUAGAAAAGAAAUUUUUUCCUUAUUGCUUAUUUUUAAAAAUUAUGCAUGUAUUGAUUUUAUAAAAACAGUUAAUUAAUUAAUUAAUUGUCUUUUUAGGGCCACACCUGUGCCAUAUAUAGGUUCCCAGGCUAGGGAUUGAAUCAGAGCUGUAGCUGCUAGCCUACAUAGCCACAGCAAUGCCAGAUCUGAGCUGUGUCUGUGACCUACACCACAGCUCAUGGCAAUGCCAGAUCCUUAACCCACUGAGUGAGUGAUCGAAUCUGUGUCCUCAUGGAUACUAGUCAGGUUCAUUUCUGCUGAGCCAUGAUGGGAACUCCACAGUAAAUACUUUUAAAAGAAAUACCUCAAUAGGUUAAAUCUGUAGGCCUUUAAUAUUAAGGGUAACCAGGACAAAUGUCAAUUUCUGCUUUUAGUUAUAAAGAAUUAUAGAGCUUGCUCAUAAAUGGCACUUUCAAAACCAAGUGAAGGUUUCUACUUUCAUGUUUGGUGCCAGCUUUUCAUCCAUAACAUCCUCCCAGCCACAAAAACUUAGAAGGUCCUUAACUAGAGCUCUGAAGCUUCCAUAAGGUGGAAACCAAAGGACAUGUGUGAUUCUAUUCUUUUUUCAAAAUUACAAGUACUGUAAGUAGUACCGAAGUUGCAAAAUUAUAUUUUUUAUUUCAAACCUAAAAAUAACACAAUGAAUAGCCAGACAUUUGCCACUUAUAAAAUCUUAGCAUUUGCCUUAUUUUCUUUAGAUUUAUUUCUUAAAAAUUUAAACACUAUCAAUAUAAUUGCAGACUCUUGAGAACCUCUCCAUGAACCCAUUCAUCUAUCCUGAUCUCCAAAAUUAGAUCACAUUUGUUAUGCCCCAAUGAAAUUUUGGUAGAAAUUAUAUCCAAGUAGCAUCUUAUUGAAGUUUCUAGGAUACAUUGAAAUUGUUUGAUUCCUUCCCACUCUCAGUAAAAUAUUUUGUCUGUUUAUCCAAAAUAGCUGUGGUUUGUGACAUAUGGCUGUAUCUGUUAUAAACACUGAAAAUAUCAGAGAGAUUAAUGCUUGAAUCCAACCUUGAAAAACUCAACUGUUGAUUUUAAUUAAAAUUCAAAAUUCCCCACUAAGUAUUAAUAACAUUUGUUCCUGUUUUGCAGUUUGUACAAAAACAAUGAAUUUCAUUUGAGGAAGAACAAGAGUUGAAACCUAUUCACAGGUUUUAACAGUCCUGUAAGCUGAUAUCACUUUUAGUUCUGUAUGUGGAAAUCCCACUUAUAGAGAAAAAGCAGGUGCUAACAUCUGUCUUGUUUAAUAAGAUAUGAAAGAUAAAACUGGGCAGAAGUGACAGUCUUAAGGCACUAAGCCACAAGUAACCUGAACAAAUCAGAAAUUUGUCUUCAGUUUAGAAGGGCACUGUCUCAAUCCUAAUGACUUAUCAAUUACUUUCAAAUCAAGGGAGUGUAAAAUAUUGAGAGAGUCAUGCAUACACUAUAAUGCCAGAUAAUCAAUAAUCUGCCUUGCCUUGGUUAGAAUCCCACUGGUGCCUAUUAAGACUUAAAGUUGAAAGUUCAAGAGAGUACUAAGGAAGAUCAAGCUGUCUCUAUGGCUUGAAACAUCAUCCAACCAAAGUACAUCAGGUGAGUGAAGGAACCCAUCAAAUGGUGUAAUAAAUGAGUGACCAGGGGGAGGAGGAGUGAAAAUCAAAGCACCAGACAUUUAGAGAUGGAGAAAAAGAACAAGAGCCUGGCUCUUCUGGUAAGAAAGAUCAGGAAUAUCUGGGGAAAAAUGCCAAAGUUCUGAGUUACAGGAGACUGGCUUAUAGAUAAAUCAGAGAAGAAAGAUGAAUAAUAAGAGCUCUGUGCUUUGUAUUUAUAUGCUGCCUUUCUCUUCUGAAAGUUCAUAGUACUUUAUGGAUAACAUCUAAUUAAACUUUACAACAUGCCUGGAAGUGAGGAAUCAAGUGUUAUUGCCCCUGUUUAACGGAUAGGAAACCUCUUCCCUCUGGGCCUCAACUCAAAUUGUGAGUAGCACAUUACAGAGGAGGUUUUAAAUCUGUCUUACACAUCGAUGCUGUAUCCACUGUCCUUUCUCACUGAGAAUAUCACAAAUUCAUAGUGUUGUGAGCUAUUAAGAACAGGACAAGAAGUAUGAAUCAAUCGUUAUUUCUACUUACUAAAUGUUCCACUCCAAGUGGAUGGCUUCUUUUUCUCUGUGAGAAGGACUUCUAAAAAGAACCAUGAACUGUAGAAAAAGAAGCCCCAUUUCGCAGAGCGGAAAGCUGAGGCUCAGAGAGUUUGAGUAAUCAUCCCAGCCAGUAUGUGGCAGAGGGUCUAAACUAGCCCUUCUCAACCCUAAAACUCAAGCUGUCUUAAUAUGAUACACUGUGUGAUUUCUGCCUUCUGUACCCUAAGUUUGAAAGCUUUGGACUGGGCUGAAAUGUGUAGAUAAACAUCCUCUUUAACAUCUUUAGACAGCACCUCAUUAUCUGGCCCGUGAGUAUCUCUCCAGCCAGGUCUCUGAAUGAACCUGGAUAACUUUCAGUUCCCUGUUGUAUUAAAACUAUAGCCUCCCCAUCCUUCUUUUCUCUCUAACACCCCAACUUACCCUUUUAUUUGCUAAUUUGCUCAUUAUCCCAAAUUCUUAGCUUAGGCAUCACUUCUCCUUGGAAAAAUACACUUUAACUCCCAAGAUUAGACUAGGGCCCUUCCUGUAUUUCUAUCAAGCCUUGGACCACCACCAUCACAGUCCUUUUCACUCUGUAUUUGUAACUGCUUUUUACUUGUCAACUCCACAUCAGAGUGAUAGUUUCUCUUUUGUCAACAAAUAAAGCUUUAGAUCAUGGCACAGUGCUCCACAAGAAUAGGUGUUUAAUAACUUCAUGUCAAAUGAAUAAACGCUGAGCCUUCAAUUAUUUACAUUAUCCACUCCCUAGUCUGCUCCAGGCUUUCACCUCCUUUCCUGGAAUCAACCAGGGCCUGGCAGGCCCUGGUCAAGCACAUGGCCUUGAUUCUCUUCUCUCUCUGUGAGCCUGAGAAGUCUGGGAAUAAUCUUAGCUUCUGCCAGUUGAGAUCAGAGACACCAGCUAUCUCUAUAGCACUGCCGCACCCUCAUAGGACAUCCAGGUUGUCUGUAUCCCUUGUGCCUGCAUUUCUUGGAGGCCUAGAUACAUCCAUUUGUCCUAACUCUGGUCCACUCCAAAAGUGAACACUAAGUGAGCCUACACAAUGCCAAAACUCUCAUUGGCUGAAUGGCUCCUGAUCAGUCUAGUUUACAUUCUUCUUGAUUGUUUUCAGACAUUCAUUCAUAUGACUCUUUGGAAGUCACACCCACACUACCUCACUGCUCAUCACAGCCCCAUCCCCAUCAGACCGCAUAAACCUCCUGAAAUGCCUCUGAUUGUUGCUUCAGUCCUUCUGGUCGCUCCACUCCCAGGCUAUUGUUUCCACCCUAAUUUUACUGUUUCUUCUCACUGACCUUCUACUAGAGAAGCUUGCUAUGAAAUCUUGUUACUAAAAAGACCCCAGCUGCCACCAACCAUUUCCCCACCCCCACCGCCAUUCCUCCCAAAUACAUCCCAUAUAAGCAGGGUCCUCUCUGCACUGGUGGAGAAUUAAUCCAACCUCCACUUGGCAGUCAAGGCUGACAGCUUCCUUUGGAUAAAAAGCCUGAACAGAAUGUGCAACAAACAAUGUUACCAUGGCUGGUUUCAAAUUAAUUAAUUUGGUGUGGUCCAGGGUGAAGAGAACAGAUUGGACAGCGGAUCAAGGCCCUCUUUCUUGCCUAUUCUCACUGUCAUUUCUGAAUAAGCAAAGCGAACUAACAUUUUCAUUUGGAAGAAAAGAAAACCCCUAAGAACUCAGCAGUCUUCAUAAAGUAUUUUUUAACAACGUGGAGUUUUCACUUAAUGUGUUAGCAUUAUUCAUAAGGGGAGAAAGGCUACAAAAGCAGUGGUGAAAGGAGAUAAAUAUUUUAAAAGAAGCUUUUCCCAACAUAUAAAGUAAAAUCAUGAAUGUUAAACCAUUUUAUUGUCUGUUCUUUUUUAAAAUAAAUUUUAGAGAUGGCAUUAUCCCCUUUUAGUAACUAUUAAUCAAUUCCUUCAAUAGUAAUUUACCAAAUCUUCCUACUAUGUGUCUGUAAUAUCGUUAAUGCUACAUAAACAGCAAACUCUUAAAAAGUGAAUGAAUCCAAACAAUUACAAAGCUUUCCUCUGAAGAACAAAAUUCUUAUCUAAAUAGUCAAAUAGCUACGAGUUAUAUUGCUUUUAUAUUUCUUUCCAACUCUUCUAAAUAUUCUGUUGCUCAAGUGGCCACAUCCUAUAUAAUUGUCUAGAACACUCCUUUCUUCUUCUUCAUUCCUUGGUACACCACUGCAGAGCACUAACACAAGUCACCAAGGAUUUGUUUUGAUGUCAGAAGUGAUUCUUCUGUGAGGUGGGAUGGACAGGUGUUACAAGUAUUCUUUCUGAGUAUGGGGGAGAGAAUUCCUCUGACAAUCCAAAAUCAGGUUCUAAUCAAGAAUUCUUUGGAGUUCCCAUCAAUAGCCCAGUGGUAACAAACCCAACUAGUAUCCAUGAGGAUGCAGGUUCUAUACUUGGCCCCACUCAGUGGGUUAAGGAUCCUUUGUUGCUGUGAGCUGUGGUGUUGGUUGCAGAUGUGACUCAGAGCCUGCACCGCUGUGGCUGUGGCUAGGCCAGCAGCUUCAGCUCUGAUUCGACCUCUAGCCUGGGAACUUCCAUGUGCUGCAGGUGUAGCCCUAAAAAGACAAAAAAACAAAAAAACAAAAA
rnacentral:lncRNA from 1 species